GGCAGUUCAUGCCCUCUCUUAGAGAGGAUUGCCACAAGUAGCGUUGCCGCAGCUUCUGUUUCCAUAAUUAUCCCUAAGGGGCGAGGAGCGACCUCACACCAGCGUCUGCCUUGACUAUGCACAGGCAGCGCUUCCCUUAGCCGCAGUUUCCCACUCCCCUCCUCUAGCUGCUUACCGCAGUCUCGGAGGAGUCAAAGGUGUCCUGUAACCAUCCUCUGCUACCAGAUGUCAGAGUGGGAGGCGGACCCGGAGUAGCGAUGGAGUCUCAAUAUGAGUAUGAUCGUUCUCCUUUAUUCAUGCACCUUACACUUCUUAUAGACUUAUCCCAAUAGUGCACGUGCUAACAAAACAAAUCCUAAUUGGUUAUGUCCCGCUGUUCACGCGCCUUAUGCUGUCACGCAACUAGCCAGACGCUCUUGAGCACGCAAAAGGGGCAGAUACAAAGUUCUCAUCACAACUCUUCGGGACUUUCCCGUGCUGGAUUCCACAUUCUUGUAUUCUACUCCCUUUUAUCUUAUCUCAAGGUCAGGCCUAGCUACAGACAGCAAACCCUGGAUUGUUCACUGCUAUUAAAUCAUGAGCCAUUCUUCCACAGGUGGCAUUGCUGGUGUGGACACCUCUGCUUCACCCUCUCUGUUCCUGCCCUGUGAAGAGCCCAGUCCUGUUGGCUUUGGCUGUGCCCAAGGGACCCGGGCUGUGAGGGAGCUCCUGGCUCUGGGGCAGGGCAGGGGCUGCCUCUUGGCCAAGGCAAGAGGAGAUUUGUCCCUGCCAUGGUAGCACCUCAUCACCCUAAGUCAGAGAGGUCCUGGUAAGGCUGGAGACAACAUCAAGCACCUCCGCAAAGGCGAAGGAGGACCAUGCAGUCUUGCUUUGCCCUUCCAGCCCAGAGAGCACGUCCUUGUCCUGGCCGAGCAGCCACAUGCAGACACCGUGCCCUGAGAGUCCAUGGUUCCUCCUCCAGGACCUGGACAGGACACCUUACAGGCAGCCCCUGGGCCUUGCAGAGGAGGUUGUGGUCUGAGAGCAUCAGGAAAUCAUAGAAUUGUUUGGUUGGAAAAAAACUUUGAGAUCAUCAACCCAGUUGUACCUGUCGAGUGCUAAAUCAUAUUCCUAAGCAUGAAGCUGGAGCGUGCAGGCCUGUGCUUGCCGAUGCCUCCAGCCUGGCAGCUCUCUCUCCAUCCAUCCACCUUUCUCCAUUGUCUGUAGUCCUGCUGGAGCUGCUGUUGGGGGCAGCUCUGCAGCUUCUCCGCCGUCAUGCACAAAACAGUGAAGCAGUUGUCUCCAAAGUGCGAGGUGACCUUCCUCCAGUCGGAAGAUGGCAGCGGCAAGGGCGCAGCGCUCAUCACGGCGGUGGCCUGCCAGAUCCGGGAGGCUGGCCAGCGAUAGGAGGAAGGAGGUUUGCCGAAGAGCUUGGUUUCAGCAGAACAGGACGUUUCCCCCCCACCCCCGGUCCCUCCCUCCGUACACACACACAUACGAGGCCUCCCCUUGCAAGCAGACUCUAGGCUUUACUUGUUCCCGUGAGAUACCACCAGUGGGACUGGAGAUGCUGUGUACUUUAUAGAAAGAGCUGUCGUAGGAGUUUCAUUGCAUGCCAUAAAACCGCGUGUCGAGUAAAGCUCAAAGCGUCUUUUGGCUGUCUGCCUACAUUCCCAGUUAGAGCUGGACCUGUUCCACUUGCAGCCUCCAUCAAACACCAGCUCUCCUCCCCACAUCUCCUAACCACUCUCCCACCUUCCCAAACAGCAGAAAGGGUAAUGCUGGAAUAAUUAAGACACUGCAUUGUCACUUUACAGUAACCGGUACCUAUUUAUGUCUGUCGUAGCGUGUCCAUGCUGUAGAAAGCAAACCUCUCCAAGAUUGGGCUAAAGACCUCCGUUAGUCUUUUACCCUGAUCAAGGCUGUAUUAUUUCCAUGAAAGUCAUGGUAACUUUUCAAGCACAGGGUGCAGAAUUCCAACCGGCGUGUUCCGGGUCUGCACUGGGAGAUACCAGGUAUCUCUGUUGGUGAGCAAUAUUAAAGAACCUGCUGGCUCCGAGUUAGAGGCGCCCCUUUAACGGCGCCAGCAGAGCACGUGCCUGGAAAUAAUUGGGGACUCAGGGUCUAAUCCCAUUUCCCGACCUCUCACCUCACCUGCACCCUAGAGUGUAGUCACGUGGCAUGUCCGUAUGGUUGUGUUGCACCUCUGAAAACCACUGGCACCCUUCCCAGGUGCAUGUGCGGAUACAGGAACCACCACCCGGCCGGGUCGCUCUCUUCCCUGCAGAUCCGCACAUCGUGGCCGUGUGUCUGUGCUUGGCGCGGGUAGAUUGGAGAGAGAGACACCCAUAUUCCUGAGGAUGGGCAUUCUGAAUUCAUCACCAGGACAAAAGGGAAACUAAGAAGGCAGGGAUGCGCAGCGCGGGGAGCAGUCGGGCCCUGCAGCAGCGAAGCUUUCAGGAUUAGGCUGGGAGGACCUGAGGAGAGGUUUUUCUUUUGUCCCGCUGCCCUCAUCGCUCUGGAAGGCGCCGCUGUUCCCUGUGGCAGCACGGGGUAAAAUAACGUCGGGCCCCCUCGCAUUGUCCCGGGACAGCAAACCGCGGCUCGAGCACCGCUGGGGUGCGUGUUUCGCAGCGAGACGCUGGCAAAACCAAUCCCAACUCCUUCCAUCAAUUAAGCAGCAAUAGCUGAUGUCACUCCAUGGCCCUUUGGCAUCCUCAGGGCUGUCGGCAAGCGCUCCUGGGGCCGUGGGUGCCCAUAGCAUCAUUUUGUGUGUCCCAGGGAAAAGCAGUGAUUAAUUCUUGCCUUAGAAUUAAGACGCCUUAGGACAAAGCUGCAGCAAUGCUGGAGCGGGGAGAGGCACAUGGGAGGGGCUGUAAAUAUUUAGCAGAAGAGAAUGAAGUUCCGAUUCUGUACAACUAUAAUAAUUAAUAAUUCCCAGGAGCAGACCUUCACUUUGGAGGACAGAGUUUUUGUCUAUUUUGAUGUAUAUUUUUACACUGCUUGGGGUACCCUCAUUCCCAGGAGUCUCUCUGCUGUCUUGGGGGUCACGUGCAGUAGCACAAUUUUAAAGCAAAAAUCACUCUUCGGGCAUUUUAAAUGCUUAUUUUUAUAUAAGCCUCAAGACAAUUAUAACAAAGCAAAUCUGACUGUGUAUAGAAACAAUGUAAGAAACCAAGUUCAGUGAAAAGUUUUAGAAGAUGUUAAAUAAAUUUUGGAAAGAUGGUCCCAAACUCCUCUGCCACGGUCCCAAGCAGUCGUGUGUUUAUUCCUGAGAGCAGCCUUUUGCCUGCUGACAAACUGAACCAGAAAUGUUUUUAGCUGCCGCACCGUGCAGAAAGUUGCAUUAGUGAUAGGAUGAGGGGAGUGGUUUUCAGCUGCAAGAGGGGCGAUUGAGAUGACAUCUGAGGAAGGAAUGUUUCCCUGUGAGGGUGGGGAGGCCCUGGCCCAGGUUGCCCAGAGCAGUGGUGGCUGCUCCAUCCCUGGAGGGGUUCCAGGCCAGGUUGGAUGGGGCUUGGAGCCCCUGAUCCAGUGGGAGGUGUCCCUGCCCAUGGCAGUGGGUGGGACUGGAUGGGCUUUGAGAUCCCUUCCAACCCAAAUCAUCCCAUGAAUCUGUGAUUAGCGGCUGUAUUUUUAAACUCUUAUCCAGUUGGGCGCCUCCUGGAACACGUAGUGUUUUCAUCGGUUAGUGAGGUAAAUUUUAUACAGCUUUAGUUUGGGAGGAGAGUGGAAAAGAGUGAGACUGUGGGCAGCUGAUUCCGGCUCCCGUGCAGCAAAUUGUUGGAGUGGGUGACUGAAAGGGUGAGAAGAUGCGGGUGGUUCAGUACCCGGUUAGCGGGGACGAGUGGAGCGGGGUAACCUCGCUGCCCGUGCCUCUCCGCAGCACAGACUGGGGCUGUAGCCUCGCAGCGGUGGGAAGGAUUGACUCUACCCUCAGAGGGUGGUGGGGAACAGCCGAGCGCUGUCUCCUCUCCUGGAACAGAGAAAGGGAAGACCGUGCAGCUCCUCCCCUGGAGCUAGAGCUUCUUGGUCUGCCCCACAGUGCCUGAGCUGGGCCAGUAUCGGCUCUGUGGGGCUAGCGAGGCGAGGGAGACGUGCUGGAGCUCAAGGAUACAGACUGAAGCAUUCUGUGAGGUCAGGGAGGGUUUUGGGCUGGGCUUGGUCCGAUGGAAUCCCACCUGGAUACCACCCAGGCUCUCAUAAUGCUUGAGAACCUUUGCUUCCCCCUCACUUUGUCUCAGAAUCAAGCAGGGGCUGAAGUGUUUCCAGGUAAACAGCAACACUCGGAGCGUUUCAAGACCCCAUCAUUAUGGCGUGGCUGCAGGGAUGCCCUUGGCCCUGGCUGUGAGAAAGGGUUUUAUUAAAGAUGAAGAGACAUUUGUGCUCCUCUUCAAAGAGGAUGAGUAGCAUUUGCUGCACAGUCCGAUUGUCACUCUGGUGGGACUGUAACCUACAUGAGCACAGUGCCCUGGGACAGUCUGUGAACGUGUUUAAAAUGAGAAGGGAAGGUGAAAUCGUAACAAUUAAUAUGAAGGGAAGAUCAGAUCUGUUCUACGUAGGGAGGGAUGGACAAGACCGAUCAGCUUGACUUGCUCGAUCUGUCUCUCCUCCAGUCAGAAGCACUGCUUUGUGCAUUCAGGAUGGCUUUUGUCUCACUUGGUUUUUCCCAUGAGGAUGCAUUUUCUUUGCACUCCUGGUGGUGUGCUGGCACAUUCUCCGGCCACAUGGGCAGCAGGAGAACAGGGUCUUCCAUGGGGUCGGCUGCUGUGCCAGAGGCUCUGACAUCUCCCUGGUGAUUCUCUCCUUCGUGGCACUCGCGACAGGAUUUUAUUGUUACUGCACACACACAAGUAGCAAAUUAUUGAGCCUUGCAAAAGGAAUUUGCCUCUUCCCUUCCUGGGGUUGAGGGACAUGUAGGGAGAAGCAUCACAUUCCACCACCCAAGACGUGUGAGGAGGGUCCGCGACGCACAGAUCUCUGGGCUGGAAGCAGCUCCGAGGCAGCUCAGUGCCUCUGCUGCACGGCCUCUCCGCAGGCGAUCCAGCCGUGUCCAGGCUCUCUGUCGGAGGAGAGAGGGUGAAAAUUCCUGGUCACAACGCGAUGUGGAGGAUGAGAGUCCAGUUAUGGAUCUUGUUGACAUCUCUAACCAGUCUGACGUCUUUCUGACUCGAAGCAAAGAAAACGCAUCUCAGUGCAGGCGAUGGCUCUGUGUGGGACAGGGGGACAUCAAUAAAGCCAAAGACUGUGGGGCUGCUAACAGGAACAAGAGACUGUAGAUUCACCUGAUGUUGUUAUUUCGUGUUUACAAUAUUUAUUUUUAGUAACUGACUGCUAUUAUAUUAUAGAGAGGCUUCCUUAUUUUUGUACUU